CCUACGGGAGGCAGCAGUGGGGAAUUUUGGACAAUGGGGGCAACCCUGAUCCAGCCAUGCCGCGUGUCUGAAGAAGGCCAUCGGGUUGUAAAGGACUUUUGUUAGGGAGCAAGUCCUGCAGGUUAAGAGCUAGUAGGGAUGAGAGUACCUAA
rnacentral:rRNA from 1 species